rnacentral:rRNA from 1 species
GACGAACCGUCCAAACGUUAUUCGGAAUUACUGGGCUUAAAGGGUGCGUAGGCGGCUCUGCAAGUUGGGUGUGAAAUCCCUCGGCUCAACCGAGGAAUGGCGCCCAAAACUGUGGAGCUCGAGGGAGACAGAGGUGAGUGGAACUUGUGGUGGAGCGGUGAAAUGCGUUGAUAUCACAAGGAACACCGGUGGCGAAAGCGGCUCACUAGGUCUCUUCUGACGCUGAGGCACGAAAGCUGGGGGAGCGAACGGGAUUAGAUACCCGCGUAGUCCCUGA